rnacentral:rRNA from 1 species
GACGGACGCUGGCGGCGUGCCUAAUACAUGCAAGUCGAGCGAUGAUUAAAGAUAGCUUGCUAUUUUUAUGAAGAGCGGCGAACGGGUGAGUAACGCGUGGGAAAUCUGCCGAGUAGCGGGGGACAACGUUUGGAAACGAACGCUAAUACCGCAUAACAAUGAGAAUCGCAUGAUUCUUAUUUAAAAGAAGCAAUUGCUUCACUACUUAAUGAUCCCGCGUUGUAUUAGCUAGUUGGUAGUGUAAAGGACUACCAAGGCGAUGAUACAUAGCCGACCUGAGAGGGUGAUCGGCCACACUGGGACUGAGACACGGCCCAGACUCCUACGGGAAGCAGCAGUAGGGAAUCUUCGGCAAUGGGGCAACCCUGACCGAGCAACGCCGCGUGAGUGAAGAAGGUUUUCGGAUCGUAAAACUCUGUUGUUAGAGAAGAACGUUAAGUAGAGUGGAAAAUUACUUAAGUGACGGUAUCUAACCAGAAAGGGACGGCUAACUACGUGCCAGCCGCCGCCGUAA